AUUGAACGCUGGCGGCAGGCCUAACACAUGCAAGUCGAACGAGUGGCGGACGGGUGAGUAAUGUCUGUGAAACUGCCCGAUGGGGGGGGGUAACUACUGGAAACGGUAGCUCAUACCGCAUACCCUCUGAUGUGUCCAGAUGGGAUUAGCUCGUAGGUGGGGUAACGGCUCACCUAGGCGACGAUCCCUAGCUGGUCUGAGAGGAUGACCAGCCACACUGGAACUGAGACACGGUCCAGACUCCUACGGGAGGCAGCAGUGGGGAAUAUUGCACAAUGGGCGCAAGCCUGAUGCAGCCAUGCCGCGUGUAUGAAGAAGGCCUUCGGGUUGUAAAGCACUUUCAGCGAGGAGGCGUUACUCGCAGAAGAAGCACCGGCUAACUCCGUGCCAGCAGCCGCGGUAAUAC
rnacentral:rRNA from 1 species